rnacentral:piRNA from 1 species
UCUGUGAGUUCAGGGACAGUCCACUCAGA